rnacentral:misc_RNA from 1 species
CGCCAGAGGGAUAUGGUAAUUGCUUUGUGGCAAUAGCAGAGACCAUAGCACCAAGGGAAGGAGAUAAGCCGAAAACUAGCAACCCCACAGGCAACAUCCAGAACUUGAACAACUCCAGCUGAACUUAGAUCACCAGCUUCAUUAGUUGUCAUAUUUCCAUUAUCAUCCGCCCUGAUUUGGAAUCAAAAGCUGAUCCCAAAGGAUAGCCUCUCUCCCUCUUUGUCGGUGGAUUGAGCUAACACCUGAGCGAGUAGUCGAACUGCUAUUUU